AACCUACGGGAGGCAGCAGUGAGGAAUAUUGGUCAAUGGACGAAAGUCUGAACCAGCCAAGUAGCGUGCAGGAUGACGGCCCUCCGGGUUGUAAACUGCUUUUAGUUGGGAAUAACGACGGGGACGUGUCCCCGGAAAGAAUGUACCAUCAGAAAAAGGACCGGCUAAUUCCGUGCCAGCAGCCGCGGUAAUGGUU
rnacentral:rRNA from 1 species